rnacentral:lncRNA from 1 species
CGGCUCCGCGCCCCGCCCCUCGCCGAGGCCCCGCCCACCGCCCCGCCAAUGCCGGCGCCGCGGCACCGCGGCCACGCCCCCGAAGGGGCGAGGUGCCCUCCUCAGCCCCGCCCACCGAUGCCUUAUAAGGCCCACGCGGCGUCAAGCCCCGCCCUAUAGGGGCGGGGCGCGGGCUGGCGGGAGAUCGCACGUGGGUGCCUGCCCUGCGGGAGGGUCCCGGGCCCGGCCGGGACCCCCCCAGGCCGAGCUGCGACCCCACCAGCCCAGCCCAGCCCGGCCACGGCUACAAGCCCAGCCCUCCACCAUGCUGCCCCACGCCCACAGCUCGCAGGGAACCCUGAGCUCCAUCAGCAGCUUCUGGGGACCUGGGUGGUAUUUGAGGUCUCCAGGCAGUGCAGCAGCACGGGACGGUGACAGAGGGUCCUUCCAGCUGCCCCGAGUCCCAGCCGACACGAACUAUCGCCCACGAACAGCCGGGCGAGCUGAGUGGUGUUUGCUGCCGUCCCUCCUCCCAGCCGGGCCGCAAGUAUGGACCUCGGCCACCCAAAAAUCACAUUACUGGUGACAAACACGUUGCCGAGUGCGGAGAGGAACCAGCAACGUUUGACAGAGGAGGGAGCAAUGCUUCAAGUAAGCCCCUGCCGUGAUGUUCCCAAAGUUUAUUACAUGUCCCCUAAACCCAAAACUCUGGGAAAAAAUGAUGCAUAGCGGGGGAAUGAACCUCUCGGGUAGGGAGACAGCGAGGGCGGCCGAGCCAGCGUCACGGCAGACAGCAAUCACCACCCCUGAACCGUAAUCAGCAAGUUCAACUGCUUUAAUUUGCCUGGGGAAAACGUUUUGCUAAACGUUUUUAAAUUGAUUUAAUGAGGCCAAUCAGAGACAAAAAACUUCUGGGAGGAACUGGGAGUUCGCUAAAGACAAUUCGGCAGCGCAGAACUUUUGGGGGAGCGGGGAGAGGCCACGGGCAGGCGCUCCCGCAGCGGCUGGCGGGACGUAGCGCCGGAGCGGCUGAGGAGCGCUGCGCGUGCCCUGUCCCGUCGCCUUGCCGCGGGAGCGCUGGCUCGCACGGGGGAGAUGGGAGCAGCGUUUUAAACCACCGCGGCCGUUUGCAAGGUUAACCUGUGUCUUAAACCUUAACGCAGCAGAUUUACCCACUGACCUCGACUUGUCUGUAGUGGUGCAACGUGCUCCUCAACCCAAUAAAAGACAGCUCUGCUGCCA